rnacentral:rRNA from 1 species
AUUGAACGCUGGCGGCAUGCCUUACACAUGCAAGUCGAACGGUAACGGGCCUUCGGGUGCCGACGAGUGGCGAACGGGUGAGUAAUGUAUCGGAACGUACCUUUCAGUGGGGGAUAACGUAGCGAAAGUUACGCUAAUACCGCAUAUUCUGUGAGCAGGAAAGCAGGGGAUCGCAAGACCUUGCGCUGAUUGAGCGGCCGAUAUCAGAUUAGCUAGUUGGUGAGGUAAAGGCUCACCAAGGCGACGAUCUGUAGCGGGUCUGAGAGGAUGAUCCGCCACACUGGAACUGAGACACGGUCCAGACUCCUACGGGAGGCAGCAGUGGGGAAUUUUGGACAAUGGGGGCAACCCUGAUCCAGCCAUGCCGCGUGAGUGAUGACGGCCUUCGGUUGUAAAGCUCUGUCUUCAGGGACGAUAAUGACGGUACCUGAGGAGGAAGCACGGCUAACUACGUCGCCAGCAGCCGCGGUAGGACGUAGCGU